rnacentral:tRNA from 1 species
GGUCCCUUGGCUCAGCUGGUUAGAGCUUUGUACUAAUAGUAUAUGAAGAUAUAAUGUUGGUAAUGCAAAGGUCGUAAGUUCGAUCCUCACAGGGACCA